UUUCCGUAGGUGAACCUGCGGAAGGAUCAUUAUUGAAUAAACUUGAUGUGGUUGUAGCUGACCCUCGCAAGAGAGUAUGUGCUCGCCCGUCACCUUUAUCUUUCCACCUGUGCACUCUUUGUAGAUUUGAAUUGUAGUUUUCCGAGGCAACUCGGUUGAGAGGAAUGUCAUUCGUGGCUUUCCUUGUUAAUACGUUCAAGUCUAUGUUUUCAUAUACUCCAAAAAUAUAACAGAAUGUAUCAAUGGGCCUUGUGCCUAUAAACUUUAUACAACUUUCAGCAACGGAUCUCUUGGCUCUCGCAUCGAUGAAGAACGCAGCGAAAUGCGAUAAGUAAUGUGAAUUGCAGAAUUCAGUGAAUCAUCGAAUCUUUGAACGCACCUUGCGCCCCUUGGUAUUCCGAGGGGCAUGCCUGUUUGAGUGUCAUUUAAUUCUCAGCCUUUAUUAGCUUUUGCUUUUAAUGGUCUGGAUGUGGGGGUCUUUUGCUGGUUUCGCAAGAAAUCUGCUUCCCUUAAAUGUAUUAGCUGGUGCCCUGCGUGGACUGUCUACUGGUGUGAUAAUUAUCUACGCCGUUAGAUGUCUGCUUUAAAUGGGAUGCGCUGCUUCUAAUCGUCCUUUCAGGACAAUUAUUGACCAUUUUGACCUCAAAUCAGGUAGGACUACCCGCUGAACUUAAGCAUAUC
rnacentral:rRNA from 1 species